CUCACGCACAGGAACGUAGAAAGUUUCUCUGGCAAGGGACGGGACUUUCCUAAGAAAAGAUUUUGUGGUGACAUUAUUACUGUAGUUACACUGGACUGCAUAAACGACGGAACAGUCUUUCAGCAGAGAAGUAAUGGAUUGUUUGAUGUACUUUCUGAAACCACCAGCUCCACAUUAUAAGCAAGUUUGCAGUUAGGCAAUAGCUGUCCUGGGACAGGAAAAGGAAGCUUUUGCCAACAGUCUCCAAAGCAGUCCCAAGUAGUGUAAAACAGAAGGCAGAAGUUCAUCAAGGUAAAUAUGCUUUCUUGAACCUUUAUCCUUCCUCACUCCUCCCAUUAUAUUCUUCUUUUUCUAGUAACAAAUAU
rnacentral:lncRNA from 1 species